AACGAACGCUGGUGGCGUGUUUUAUACAUGCAAGUCGAGCGAGGACGGUAGCAAUACCGAGCCGAGCGGCGAACGGGUGAGUAACGCGUAAGCAAUCUGCCCCACAAUCGGGAACAACCGUGCCAACGCGCGGCUAAUGCCGGAUAUUGUAGUCUACUGCAUAGUAGGCCAACGAAAGAUUUAUUGUUGUGGGAUGAGCUUGCGUCCGAUUAGCUAGUUGGCGGGGUAAUAGCCCACCAAGGCGACGAUCGGUAGCCGGCCUGAGAGGGUGAUCGGCCACAUUGGGACUGAGAUACGGCCCAGACUCCUACGGGAGGCAGCAGUAGGGAAUAUUGCGCAAUGGGGGGGAACCCUGACGCAGCAACGCCACGUGUGGGAAGAAGCAUUUCGGUGUGUAAACCACUGUCGGAAAGGAAUAACGGAAGACUUCGGUCUUUAUGAAUGUACUUUUAGAGGAAGCACCGGCAAACUUCGUG
rnacentral:rRNA from 1 species